GAUGAACGCUGGCGGCGUGCCUAAUACAUGCAAGUCGAGCGAAUGGAUUAAGAGCUUGCUCUUAUGAAGUUAGCGGCGGACGGGUGAGUAACACGUGGGUAACCUGCCCAUAAGACUGGGAUAACUCCGGGAAACCGGGGCUAGUACCGGAUAACAUCUUGAACCGCAUGGUUCGAAAUUGAAAGGCGGCUUCGGCUGUCACUUAUGGAUGGACCCGCGUCGCAUUAGCUAGUUGGUGAGGUAACGGCUCACCAAGGCAACGAUGCGUAGCCGACCUGAGAGGGUGAUCGGCCACACUGGGACUGAGACACGGCCCAGACUCCUACGGGAGGCAGCAGUAGGGAAUCUUCCGCAGUGGACGAAAGUCUGACGGAGCAACGCCGCGUGAGUGAUGAAGGCUUUCGGGUCGUAAAACUCUGUUGUUAGGGAAGAACAAGUGCUAGUUGAAUAAGCUGGCACCUUGACGGUACCUAACCAGAAAGCCACGGCUAACUACGUGCCAGCCGCCGCAGUAA
rnacentral:rRNA from 1 species